GACGAACGCUGGCGGCGUGCUUAACACAUGCAAGUCGAACGGAAAGGCCCUGCUUUUGCGGGGUGCUCGAGUGGCGAACGGGUGAGUAACACGGGAGUAACCUGCCCUGGACUUUGGGAUAACUUCAGGAAACUGGGGCUAAUACCGGAUAGGAGCUCCUGCUGCAUGGUGGGGGUUGGAAAGUUUCGGCGGUUGGGGAUGGACUCGCGGCUUAUCAGCUUGUUGGUGGGGUAGUGGCUUACCAAGGCUUUGACGGGUAGCCGGCCUUAGAGGGUGACCGGCCACAUUGGUACUGAGAUACGGCCCAGACUCCUACGGGAGGCAGCAGUGGGGAAUAUUGCACAAUGGGCGGAAGCCUGAUGCAGCAACGCCGCGUGCGGGAUGACGGCCUUCGGGUUGUAAACCGCUUUCGCCUGUGACGAAGCGUGAGUGACGGUAAUGGGUAAAGAAGCACCGGCUAACUACGUG
rnacentral:rRNA from 1 species